UACGUAGGGGGGCUAGCGUUGUCCGGAAUCAUUGGGCGUAAAGCGCGUGUAGGCGGUCCGGUAAGUCCGCUGUGAAAGUCGGGGGCUCAACCCUCGGAUGCCGGUGGAUACUGUCGGGCUUGAGUACGGAAGAGGCGAGUGGAAUUCCUGGUGUAGCGGUGAAAUGCGCAGAUAUCAGGAGGAACACCAAUUGCGAAGGCAGC
rnacentral:rRNA from 1 species